rnacentral:lncRNA from 1 species
GUCUUUGGGAUGAGGCCAGGCAGCAUUUGUUCAAGGGAAGAACGAGGCUCUGUGUGCUGUGUGACUGUAUCAAUAGUCACGGGCAAACAGAUACCCGCAGAAGGGUAGAAUGGGAAGUGGGCGGUGCAGACAAAGCAGCUGUGUGGAAAGGUAUCUCCGUCAAGAAUGGGUUGGUGGCGAGGAACAAAAACUCCCUUAGCCGGAGUAGAAAUGGGAACUGUUGAUGGUGUUGGGGAACUCAGGAAACAUGGAAGGAAGGCAGAAGAGGAGUUAACCUGCAUCAGUGCCAGGAAGUAACAGACCAAAAGUCACUCUGGCUAUUGCUUGGAACAAGUUCUGCGCAACCAGUUACCGUUUCUCAAGUGUUCUGAAAGUGAGCCAAGAGCAGUCUGCAGA